rnacentral:ncRNA from 2 species
CGGUGAGGUAGAGGUUGCGGCUUUUAUCAGUACUUUGCACGAGAAUUUGGAGUUUCUUUGAUGACUGCAAGGGAAAGGAAAAGUCGCCGAAGUUUGUUCGCCCGCUCCAGGCGGACAAGCUGGGGCUGAUUCCAAACAGGGUCAGCACUGUCACGUUUGUUCUUUGCCCAGACAAACGUGGUGCGCUAUCUUGCGG